GUAACAAGGUCUCCGUUGGUGAACCAGCGGAGGGAUCAUUACCGAGUUUACAACUCCCAAACCCAAUGUGAACGUUACCAAACUGUUGCCUCGGCGGGAUCUCUGCCCCGGGUGCGUCGCAGCCCCGGACCAAGGCGCCCGCCGGAGGACCAACCUAAAACUCUUAUUGUAUACCCCCUCGCGGGUUUUUUUAUAAUCUGAGCCUUCUCGGCGCCUCUCGUAGGCGUUUCGAAAAUGAAUCAAAACUUUCAACAACGGAUCUCUUGGUUCUGGCAUCGAUGAAGAACGCAGCGAAAUGCGAUAAGUAAUGUGAAUUGCAGAAUUCAGUGAAUCAUCGAAUCUUUGAACGCACAUUGCGCCCGCCAGUAUUCUGGCGGGCAUGCCUGUCCGAGCGUCAUUUCAACCCUCGAACCCCUCCGGGGGGUCGGCGUUGGGGAUCGGCCCUCCCUUAGCGGGUGGCCGUCUCCGAAAUACAGUGGCGGUCUCGCCGCAGCCUCUCCUGCGCAGUAGUUUGCACACUCGCAUCGGGAGCGCGGCGCGUCCACAGCCGUUAAACACCCAACUUCUGAAAUGUUGACCUCGGAUCAGGUAGGAAUACCCGCUGAACUUAAGCAUAUCA
rnacentral:rRNA from 1 species